CCGAAUUCUCCCGGAAAAAGGAAGUGAGUGGAUAAUCAUGGGAUCCAUAGAAGAGAAGGGAGCACUUGUCUCUCUACCUAAACACUCGUAUUGGUUUGACUUUUUGGCGUUUCUGUUAUUUGACAUCGUGUUCUUUUUUUUCAUGUUCUUCAUUGUUCCAUGACGGCCAGGCAUGAAGAAAUGGGUUGCCCGGACCAAACAUUUGUUGAUAAGCAUCACCGGGAACACAGAGAAUGACAUCUGCCUUCGCCCUCUGCCUUAACCAGACCUGAAGCCAAGCCAGUACAAAGUGAAAUGCAAUCCUCAAGCUUCCGUUCCCUGAAGCCAUUUUGUAACAUGGGAUGUGCCCUUCAUUCAUUCAAUGGAAAUUGGCUAUGUUUAAACCGACAUUUCUAUUUACAUUCCCUGCUGUCAAUUGUUCUUGUACUGUUAACAAACACUUGACAUGACAUGAUUUAUUGAAGGCUGCACCUGCCAAGGUUUGGCAACAGAUGCUGAAAAAGAUGACUAAUGUGUGUGAUGAUGGUGGUGGUGGUGGUGGUGGAUACUGUUGUUGGGUUACCUAUUAUUGAAUGUUUAAAUCUUCAGAGAAUGCUGAAUGAUUGUGUGAAUGGAAUGUUAUUUUCAACGAGCUACAGUAUAAAAGCUUUAAAUUAAUAAAUUAUAUUUUCCAUGCA